CUGUUGGGUAGGGGAGCGUUGUGUAAGCGGAAGAAGGUUGAUCGAGAGGUGGGCUGGACGUAUCACAAGUGCGAAUGCUGACAUAAGUAACGAUAAAACGGGUGAAAAACCCGUUCGCCGGAAGACCAAGGGUUCCUGUCCAACGUUAAUCGGGGCAGGGUGAGUCGGCUCCUAAGGCGAGGCUGAAAAGCGUAGUCGAUGGGAAACAGGUUAAUAUUCCUGUACUUGGUAAAGCUGCGAUGUGGGGACGGAGUAGGUUAGGUUAUCGCACUGUUGGAUAUGUGCGUUUAAGUUGGUAGGUGGGAAGUUUAGGCAAAUCCGGACUUCCUUAACACAGAGAGAUGAUGACGAGGCUCUACGGAGCUGAAGUAACUGAUACCACACUUCCAGGAAAAGCCACUAAGCGAAAGGCUUUACUAAACCGUACUGAAAACCGACACAGGUGGUCAGGUAGAGAAUACUCAGGCGCUUGAGAGAACUCGGGUGAAGGAACUAGGCAAAAUAGCACCGUAACUUCGGGAGAAGGUGCGCCGGCGUAGAUUGUAAGGGCUAGCCCCUGAAGGUUGAACCGGUCGAAGAUACCAGCUGGCUGCAACUGUUUAUUAAAAACACAGCACUCUGCAAACACGAAAGUGGAGGUAUAGGGUGUGAUGCCUGCCCGGUGCUGGAAGGUUAAUUGAUGGUGUCAUCGAAAGAGAAGCACCUGAUCGAAGCCCCAGUAAACGGCGGCCGUAACUAUAACGGUCCUAAGGUAGCGAAAUUCCUUGUCGGGUAAGUUCCGACCUGCACGAAUGGCAUAAUGAUGGCCAGGCUGUCUCCACCCGAGACUCAGUGAAAUUGAAAUCGCCGUGAAGAUGCGGUGUACCCGCGGCUAGACGGAAAGACCCCGUGAACCUUUACUAUAGCUUGACACUGAACAUUGAAUUUUGAUGUGUAGGAUAGGUGGGAGACUUAGAAGUAGGAACGCCAGUUUCUAUGGAGUCAUCCUUGAAAUACCACCCUUUAACGUUUGAUGUUCUAACGAAGAUGACGAAACGUGGUCUCGGACAGUGUCUGGUGGGUAGUUUGACUGGGGCGGUCUCCUCCCAAAGCGUAACGGAGGAGCACGAAGGUUUGCUAAUCACGGUCGGACAUCGUGAGGUUAGUGCAAUGGUAUAAGCAAGCUUAACUGCGAGACAGACAAGUCGAGCAGGUACGAAAGUAGGUCAUAGUGAUCCGGUGGUUCUGAAUGGAAGGGCCAUCGCUCAACGGAUAAAAGGUACUCCGGGGAUAACAGGCUGAUACCGCCCAAGAGUUCAUAUCGACGGCGGUGUUUGGCACCUCGAUGUCGGCUCAUCACAUCCUGGGGCUGAAGUAGGUCCCAAGGGUAUGGCUGUUCGCCAUUUAAAGUGGUACGCGAGCUGGGUUUAGAACGUCGUGAGACAGUUCGGUCCCUAUCUGCCGUGGGCGUUGGAUGAUUGAUUGGGGCUGCUCCUAGUACGAGAGGACCGGAGUGGACGCAUCACUGGUGUUCCGGUUGUGUCGCCAGACGCAUUGCCGGGUAGCUAAAUGCGGAAGAGAUAAGUGCUGAAAGCAUCUAAGCACGAAACUUGCCAAGAGAUGAGU
rnacentral:rRNA from 1 species